ACGAGAGUACCGUACGACUAAGCAUCGGCUAACUACGUGCCAGCAGCCGCGGUAAUACGUAGGUGGCAAGCGUUAUCCGGAUUUAUUGGGCGUAAAGGGAACGCAGGCGGUCUUUUAAGUCUGAUGUGAAAGCCUUCGGCUUAACCGGAGUAGUGCAUUGGAAACUGGGAGACUUGAGUGCAGAAGAGGAAAGUGGAACUCCAUGUGUAGCGGUGAAAUGCGUAGAUAUAUGGAAGAACACCAGUGGCGAAAGCGGCUCUCUGGUCUGUAACUGACGCUGAGGUUCGAAAGCGUGGGUAGCAAACAGG
rnacentral:rRNA from 1 species